GCCAGGCCCGGUGCUAAGUCCUUCAUAUACAUAGUCUCAUCUAAUCUGAUCUAAUCCUCCCAAUAAACCUGAGAGAGGUAUUAUCAUCCCUUUCCAGAGGAGAAGCAGAGGUCUGGAGAGGAAGAGCGACCUGCUCAAGGUUAGGUGGCUGCGGGCGGUGGAGCUGGCAGUCCUGCCCAUGCUAUCUCACUUCGGAGCCCCGCCCUCUGCCCAGCGGCUGGCCACCAAUCUGCUCUCCAUUAUCCCAGCUGCUCCUCUCACCCCACCUGUGGCCAAUAGGCCGGGAUCAUUGCCUGUUCUGUACGCACACGGGAUCCAGACUGCACUGGCAGUUACUCACCUAGAGUGAUUUCAUCAACAGGAAGGAUUCUGCUGCUGAGGCAAAAUCCACUUCAACGGCCUUCCUUUGACUGAGCCCCACUGUGUGCUCCCCAAACUUCAUUCAGCCACCUUUCCACGGGGCUGCCUCGCCAGCUCACACAGCAAGGCCAGGAGUGAGUCCAGCUCUGACAGCCUGGGCCUCACACUUGCCAGCUCCUGCCAGCGCUCUCCAUAGGCAGUCGAGGACUCCUGAGUGGACUGACUGCUGGAACCACAGGCCUGCGGCCCACCUGGCCAUGGGCAGCACCACCACCUGAGAAAACCUCGGCCUGUCUGCCGGCAAACACAGCUGGAUCCACUUUCCAUCCAUAUCCAGAAUCUGACCACCUCCCACUACUCCCAGCCUGGCACCAGCCACCAGCACCUCUCACCUACAUGCUCCCAGGAGCCUCCCACCUCGCCUCCAUAUUCUACACUUGACCCUACAGCCUAGGCUCCACCCAGUGGCUACCGGAUUCUGCUAAAGCUUCAGUGUGAUUGUGCUACAUCUCUGCAACUCUGAAAAUGGUUGCCAUUUUCUCAGAGGUCUCUCCUCAAAGUCGUCAUUUCAAAGAGGCUCCGUCUUAGCUCAGGCUGCUGUAAUGACACACCACAGACUGGGUGGCUUAAACCACAGACGUGUAUUUUCCCUAGUUCUGGAAGCUGAGAAGGCCAAGGUCAAGGCACCUGGCUUGCAGAUGGCCACCUUCUUGCCGUGUCCUCACAUGGUGAAGAGAGAGAGAGCUCUGGUCUCUCUUGCUCUCCUUACAGGGACACUAAUCCCAUCGUGGUGGGGAGGGGCACACACGUGGCCUCAUCUAAAUCUAAUUAGCUUCGUCCCAAAGUUCCCACCUCCAGACACGAUCACACUGGGGGUUAGGGCUUCAACAUGUGGCUUUUAGGUGACGCACACAUCCAUCCUCAUUUCACCCGCCCUGGCAACUCUUUUGAAAAUGUCAACCCCGGACACUCAUAUUUCUCUUCUCUGCUUUAUUCUCUCCACAGCACUCAUCCACCCUAGCAUAUAAUCCAUUCUACUUUCUCUUAUUUAUGGUCUGUCUCCUGCACUAGAAUGGAACUCCAUAUGGAGAGGUAUUUCCUUUCUUCCAUCUACUGCUCUGUCCCAGUACCUAGAACAGUGCCAGGUAUAUGGAAGGGGAUCAAUAAAAAUGU
rnacentral:lncRNA from 10 species